rnacentral:rRNA from 1 species
AGAGUUUGAUCCUGGCUCAGGACGAACGCUGGCGGCGUGCUUAACACAUGCAAGUCGAACGGGAGGACAUGGGAAGCUUGCUUCUUAUGGACUCUAGUGGCAAACGGGUGAGUAACGCGUAAGCAACCUGCCCUCCGGAUGGGGACAACAGCUGGAAACGGCUGCUAAUACCGAAUACGUUUUCAUUGCCGCAUGGCAGUGGGAAGAAAGGUGGCCUCUGAAUAUGCUACCGCCGGGGGAGGGGCUUGCGUCUGAUUAGCUAGUUGGAGGGGUAACGGCCCACCAAGGCGACGAUCAGUAGCCGGUCUGAGAGGAUGAACGGCCACAUUGGAACUGAGACACGGUCCAGACUCCUACGGGAGGCAGCAGUGGGGAAUCUUCCGCAAUGGGCGAAAGCCUGACGGAGCAACGCCGCGUGAGCGAAGACGGCCUUCGGGUUGUAAAGCUCUGUUAUACGGGACGAACGGCUAGUGUGCCAAUACCACAUUAGAAUGACGGUACCGUAAGAGAAAGCCACGGCUAACUACGUGCCAGCAGCCGCGGUAAUACGUAGGUGGCAAGCGUUGUCCGGAAUUAUUGGGCGUAAAGGGCGCGCAGGCGGUUUCAUAAGUCUGUCUUAAAAGUGCGGGGCUUAACCCCGUGAGGGGACGGAAACUGUGAGACUGGAGUGUCGGAGAGGAAAGCGGAAUUCCUAGUGUAGCGGUGAAAUGCGUAGAUAUUAGGAGGAACACCAGUGGCGAAAGCGGCUUUCUGGACGACAACUGACGCUGAGGCGCGAAAGCCAGGGGAGCGAACGGGAUUAGAUACCCCGGUAGUCCUGGCCGUAAACGAUGGAUACUAGGUGUAGGGGGUAUCGACCCCUCCUGUGCCGGAGUUAACGCAAUAAGUAUCCCGCCUGGGGAGUACGGCCGCAAGGCUGAAACUCAAAGGAAUUGACGGGGGCCCGCACAAGCGGUGGAGUAUGUGGUUUAAUUCGACGCAACGCGAAGAACCUUACCAAGCCUUGACAUUGAGUGCUNNNNNNNNNNNNNNNNNNNCGAAGGAGCGAUCCGGAGCAAACCCCAAAAACAGAGUCCCAGUUCGGAUUGCAGGCUGCAACCCGCCUGCAUGAAGCAGGAAUCGCUAGUAAUCGCAGGUCAGCAUACUGCGGUGAAUACGUUCCCGGGCCUUGUACACACCGCCCGUCACACCACGAAAGUCAUUCACACCCGAAGCCGGUGAGGUAACCUUACGGAGCCAGCCGUCGAAGGUGGGGGCGAUGAUUGGGGUGAAGUCGUAACAAGGUAGCCGGAUCGGAAGGUGCGGCUGGAUCACCU